UUUAAAUUAAAUUAAACGCCAAGCGUCAAAAGCUUUAAAAAUGCACCAAAAGCAGUGCAUGAAUCAUUUGAAACAAUAACUCUUUCGUGAAUUUUUCGUUGGCGCUGAAAAGCGCCAUUUUGUUAAAUUGCAGCAGAAGUUGAUUCUUGUGGCCAUCUCCUCGAGCGUCCAUCCAAGUAGGCCUUGCUUUUCUCCUUCGACGUCGUUUUGGCAGUAAUUUCACGCACACGCUGGCGUGUUUCUUCUUCUCGGAGCUUGCUCUUGAUUUCCUCCAGUCGUUUAUUUUCCGCUGCUGCUGCUGCUACGAUGUUGUCGGUUCGAACGAUGACGAUGGAAUGAAAAUCGUUGGCAAAAAUUCUGCCUUCACGACUCUACGGCAAAACAAAACAGCCAAUCAGAGAGCGGAAAGAUUUUUUGCGUGGGUCAAAGCACGCGCUUGCUUGUUCAAGGCCAACUGCGAUCGUUUGACGUUUGACACUUGCAAGCGAAAAUUGUUAAUAUUCGUAAUUUUUUUUAGCGAAAAUUUUGGGGGAAGUAUUUAAAUUAAAUUAAACGCCAAGCGUCAAAAGCUUUAAAAAUGCACCAAAAGCAGUGCAUGAAUCAUUUGAGACAAUAACUCUUUCGUGAAUUUUUCGUUGGCGCUGAAAAGCGCCAUUUUGUUAAAUUGCAGCAGAAGUUGAUUCUUGUGGUCAUCUCCUCGAGCGUCCAUCCAAGUACACAGAAAAAAAAUGUGAUUUUACAGGACACUGAACGGAUGUUUUGAAUGUAAACAUGCUCAAUGUAAAUUUGAAAAUCGUUGUAAAUCGUUGUAUUGCAUUUAAACAGGGUAAAUGUAAAUUGAAAUUGAAUGUAACCUUUAAAUCCCAUGUAAAUGAUCUCGAUUUUGUUGACAUUGGCCAAAUUUGAAAGUAUGAAAAACAUGUAAAUCAAUUUUUGAUGUAAAAUGUUGUAAAUGUAAACUCAAACAGCAUUUAAAUUUAAAUUGCUACCUUAUUUUGGAAUGACAGCUCAAGCGGAUGGAAAAAACAAAUCAGUGCAAUGUUAUGAUUGUUUUGUGCGCAUGAAACUGAAGCUGUAAAACUGCUUGUGGCUGAUUCCGAUGGUGCAUGGUGAAAGAAAGGUCACAAAAUUUGAUGCCGGAAGGCGGAAGUCAAAGGGAACUUGUUUGUUUACAUUUGGGGACGUCUUUGGCAUGGCUUGGCGGUGGAGAUGUUGAAAGUGAUUGAGUGCGAAAGAUGCCGGUGUAAACAACAAGAAUCAGCAUCAAAACAGAUUUUUAGGCAGGGCCUCUAGCGUCAGCAGCGGAAAUGGGUUUACAAACGGGAAGAUGCCUGGAGCUGGGGGGACGACGGGCUGGAGACGGUCAGGCCGGACAGCAGUUCGAAGACGAGCUGGGCAAACAAGGAGUCCUUGUCAAACUUCUGGUGGAUCUAUCUUGAUACAGUUCGUUUUUGGUCUGGAUGUUCCAGACAGCGAGGGUCACUCGUAGGUUAGGACAAAGAUCGAUGCUUUGAACAAGCUUCCGGACUCGGUCCGGUCAACGAACGGACCCUACAACCUGAAACUCGGUCUGGCCACUUUAGUUAUCGGUGUUGCGGAAUCUUAGUUCUUCAGUGUUGGUCGUACUGGUUCUUGAAGGGAGGAAGUUAAAACUACUGAUGUUUCAACACCGACUCAAACAACGCGUAAACAUCGUUCUGAAAUUUAAUCUGCAGUUGAUUUUGGUUGAAAUAAAAAUUAAUGUGAAUCUCUAAUAUCCAGAGACUUUCAAGAACUCCACGGUAAGAACACAAAUCUUUUUUAAAUACUAAAGUUAAGACUAAAAAAUAUAUUGUUUUACAGAAAAAAAACUGUUCUGGCUGGGAAUGGAAAAGAUAAACAAACGGGAUGACAGAAAAAAAAAUGUACGCUGCAGGAGAAUUCGUAAGAAAUCUGCACAAAAAACAAUACACGUUAUGGAGAUGUUGGUCAAUAAACCAAACUAAACUCUUGUUUUGUUCGGUAUUCUUAAAAAAAACGUGUACCUCAGUGCUAUGGUUGGUGUCUUGGAUAACAAGGGUUGGCUACACCCUAACCAAAAAUCAUGAUUUUCUGAGUUAAA